AUUUUCAUAUUUUUGAAUUUUUCUCAAAAUUUAUGUGUUUACCUCUACGAAAAUAUUGAGUUUUUCGGUAAAUGUUCUAUAUACUGAUGCCUAUGAUCUUUAGUGUUGUUUUAAAAUUUCUAAACACAUUCUAAAUUUGUAUUAAUGUAUAUUAAACUCUCUUUCAUGGAACAUGGACAUCGUUUUAAUUUUUUGUCAAUUAAUUUUGUAAAACUUCAUAAUACACCCUAAAUUGAUGGACUAACCACUGUAAAAUUGUUAUUCUCUAGGAAACAA